GCGGCUCUGUGACACAAGAGUAACCGGCGGGUUCAGGGACCCAGCGGGUCCGGCGCAGCGCUGCCAGUCGGUCACCGCGGAGGCAGCAUGGCGGCGUCCUGAGUCUCAUCACCGGCACGGUAUCGUCCUUAUAGCUGCUGUAUGAAGAUACACACUGUGGGUGAGAGGGGGUGCAGUGGUUACAGACGAAGACAACUGGCAGUUCGCUCGACGGGAUUUUGUUGUUAUUCCCCUGAGGGAGGUGUUUCACUCAGGUGUUGGGACAAUGUCACUCAUACGUGUAUUCAGUUCGCUCACCAGGCAGAUUUGGUAUAAUCUGCCCAGGUACAGGGUCAGUGGCUCCUUGCCGCAGACGGCACUGCACAGGUGUCUGUCCUCCAUCUCCAGAAUGGGAGUGUCUACAGCGCUGGUGUCGACCCCUCCCCGCUGGCUCGGACCCUGUUGGCAGCAGGUGGCUGGGAUGAAGACCAGGACAGCCCUGAAAAGACGCUGUAAGGACUGCUUCUUCGUCCGACGGAGGGGCCGUCUGUUUGUGUU